GAAUCUCACUAUAUAGCCCUGACUGUCUUGGAACUCACUAUGCAGACUAGGCUGACUGCAAAUUCAAAGAGGUCUGCCUGCCACUGUCUCCCAAAUUCUGGAAUCAAAGAUCUCACAGCAAUGACAGGCCUCACAGUGAUGACCCCAGUGGACCACAAAGUUCAACCUGUGAAACCACGAACCAAAAGAAAUCUUUCCUGCUUGGAUUUUUUUUCCACUCAGCACCUGUGAAGAAAAUGCAAAAUGACAGGCUGUAGAAGACUUGGCUUCUGUGUGUAGCAGUGCCUACUGUGUGUAGUAGUGCCUACUGUGAUUCUGUGGACUGGAAUGACACACACCUAACACACCUUAUGCGCUCCUAUGCAUGUCCAGUUUGCACAGACCAUACAGUUUCCCAGAUGUCAAAUCUGAACUGUUUGGGGUCACCAUGCUAAGCAUAUUUACAAUGUCAAAAAAUGUUUUAGGGAAUUAGCUAAUUCACAAAGGUCUUCAGGAGCACUGAACACCACGGGCUGUUUGUUAUUCUGAGGUUUGCUGUAAUGAAAUGUUCCUGGUCAUGAGGAGUGCACUUAAACAACCGUGUAUGGAGUCUUGCCAGGAGUGAAAAUAGCUUAAAAGCAGUGUUGGUUAGUGUUCUGUCAACUUGACAAGAGCUAGAGUCAUCUGGGAAGGGAGAACCUCAGCUGAGGAAUCGCCUCCAUCAGAUUGGUCCGUAGGCAAGUGUGUGCGUGGGGGGUGUUUUCUUCAUUGAAGAUUGAUAUUGGGGGGACCCAGUCCACUGUGAGCAGUGCCACCAUUGGGCAGAUGGUCCUGAUUUGUACCACAAAGCAGCUUGAGGAAGCCAUGGGGAGCAAGCCAGUAAGCAGUGUUCCUCCACAGUCUCUUCUUCAGUUCCUGCCUCUAGUGUUUUGCCUUGAGAACCUACUCUGGCUUCCUGGGAGGUGGGAGCGUAAGCUGAAAUAAACCCUAUCCUCCCCUAAGUUGAUUUUGGGCAUGUCGUUUUAUCACAGCAAUGGGAAGGCAAAGGAGAAUAAAAGCCACGGCAGAAGGCUCAUAACUAGAGGUCUAACACUUGAGAGGCUGAGGCAGGAGAAUUACCAUAAAUUCAAGCCAGGCUGCAGAGUGAGACACUGUCUGGGGGGUGAAAAAAGCUAAUCUAAAAUGGCAUAGGAAGAAAGCCAUGUCCUUCCUUAGCACGAGCAUAGAAGGGCAUCUUCAGAUCUAACCCUCUCGGAUGGAAUGACUGCUGCGCUCAGAGUACGGAGCCAAAGACUAAGCUAGAGGUGAGCACAUAGUGUGAGGCCACCAGAGUGCAUCCCAACCAGUUUCCAUUUAGCAACUUUUGCCUGAAUGUGUGCAUUUAAGAUGCGGUGAUAUAGACCAGCUCAGGCGUGCCAUGUCUUCCCAUUUAAUAGUCUAGCAGUAUCUGAGCCACGUGGAUGCGUAUGGUACAACGAGCAGGCCACACUGCUAAGGCCAACGCGGUGAAGUGGAGCCUGGCACGGAAAGGGCUCCUGGUCCCUGAAGCCCUGGCCAGCCCCAGGCUGCUGAGGGAGGAACAGGGUGCAAGGCAGCAGUGACCCACCCGACCCAGAGGUGAAAGCGCGUAAGAAAGAAGCCAUUUUGCCCUGAGCUGAGCUGAGCUCCUGGGGCAAACGAGGGAAAUAGGGCUGCUUUACAUUUUCUCCAGCCUACUUGUUUUCAAAAUGACCUGCAGCUCAGUAAAAAGGCUCACAUUGGAUUGAAAGCCCACAGCACAGCAGAAAGUAGGGAAGGGUGUAGUUUACAAUCCUGUGUGUUACUUGAUCCUUUUGCAGGCCGGGGCCUCAGCUCCUUCCUUUUCUCCUGCCCACCUCUUCUUCCUUUCUUAUAGAGACACAGCCUCAUGUUUCCCAGCAGGCUGGUCUCAGACUCACCAUGUAGCAGAGUAUAACCCUGGAUUGUUGAUCCCCCGCCUCUACUUCUAGUGCUGGAAUUACAGGUGUGGCCACCAUGCCCGGUUUGGAUCGAUGUUGUUUGUUUAAAUCUAAUAGUCCUGAAGUGUCAUGUGUGAAUAUAGUGAUGUUAAAGAUGCCAAAAUGAAUAAAAAAGUGUGCCUAUUGUAUACAUAGCCCUGGCCAAUGGGAAACAAUCAAUCUGUGAAGUAGAAAUGGGAUU